AGGUCUCAGGCCACGCCACAUAUUCAUGAGGGCAGCAAUGGAAGGAAGGUCAAAGAAAGCUACAACCCACAGUCCCUGGAGGCUCAUCUCAAGGAGGACCAUCUCCUGAUCAACAGUGGGAGGCAGAAUCUGAGUCUCAUGGGCACCUGGGCACCUGGAAUUAUGGAAGCCCACAGAUGCAUGUGCGUUCAAGGGAGAAUGAGUGACUCACAUUGGGUGCUCAACAUCAGCCCACCCAGACAUGCUCAGAGAUACAAGCAAGGAACACAGUAUGGAGCCCAAUGCCAGGGAAUCUGAACUUUUGCCACCUCUCUUGUUACUGUAUCUAACCUUCUGUAAGUAUGAAACACAUUUAUAAAACUGUUUUAAUGUCAUUUAAUGAUUUUUUAGCAAAGUUUUAAGUUGCUAUGAAUUUCAGUUGAUUUUCCUCAUAAUGGAUCAUAUUUUCUGCUUCUUUGUGUGAUUGGUAAUCUUUGAUGGUUGCCAGAAAUUGUGAAUUUUACCUCUUGGGUACCAAGAUACCUUUUAUUCUAUAAAUUAAAUCUCUUUUAAACUUUGUUCUGAGAUGCACAUCAGUUACUUGGGAGCAGUCUGGUCCUUUAUAAUUUGUCUGAUGAGCCCAGCCUCUGGGACCCUGAGGCAAUACUCUACCACCCUGGUAAGAGACCCCCAACACCAGUCACCCCAACAUACCCUUGGGAUGGAGCUGGGAGGAGGUCAGUGUGACAGGGUCUGCAGACUGUGGGCUCACCUAGGGACUUGCCAAGCAAGUAUGAAUGGAAGGCUGCACUCAAGUGAGGCCUGAGGAGGGGAGUCUGAGCCAUGGUGCCCUAGAAAGUGGGGAGCAGGGCAGGAGCCCUGAGGGCGAGCAAGUAGGGUACUGAACUUGAAUAGGUUGGUGUCCCACACUUCCCAACACUCACUCAAGUACACUCACAUACACUAAACAUACUCCUCCUCACACUUGCCCAAACACAAAAGCACACAUAGUCACUAACACACAAUCAGACACCCACAUACACAUUGAACACUUAUGCCCUCACUGGAACAUUCAUGCAAACACAGAUUCACAUCUGCACUCACACACAUGCUUUCAUGGGGCCUGUUUUUGCCUUCAAGCUCCAGGGAAGUCUCAAUAGAAGAUAGGUGGUAGCACUGUCCCCAUGGCAAAUGAGGAAACUGAGGCUGGAGAGAGGAACCUCCUGAGAGCACAAGAGAACUUGGCAGGCUCAGAGCUUGAGGUCAGCCUUAGACACCCCCCGGCCAACACCUGCCCAAAUUACAACACGGCCUGGGCACAGCUAGCACCUCAAUAUGCUCUGAUGGGGAUGGGGGUACUGUUCCUGGGAGAGGCCAGACAGAGGCAGUGGGUAGCCAAGGCACAGGGCAAUCAGCAGAGGCCAGGCCUAGGGGUACAGCUUACCAAAGCCACGGCCCAUUCACUUCUUCCAGGUCCAGGCCAAACUCUGCUUGGUAUGGCCUUAUCUGCCCCUUUGGUUCACUCCAUUUUAUUUUCAGCCACAGAUUUGCCUUUUUCCUCUGGAGGCCUGUCCUGAGGAGGACUGAGCGUGCUGCUAGUCUAGAGGUCACUGUCCCUUCCUUGCCCCCAGACAGGAGAGAGUUGUAGGUUACUCAGGAGAUGAAUGAAUGAAUAAGGCUGGUGUUACGGAUUGAGAACUGGUGGUCAACUUAAUGCCAGCUGGAUUACAUCAGCAUGCAUUGAGCGAAGAUGCUCCACCUGAGGAGGGUUGCCAGGAUAAACAGGUGGAGAAGAAGGGAGGUGUUAAGAGGGAUUGAGGUGUUAAGGAGGCAUUGUGGGUUCUCCUACGAGUUGCUGUCUGAGCUGUUGGUUCUCCUGGAAAAGCUUUGGUCUCACAUCAAGCAUUGCUUCCUGGCUCCGGAGGGGAAGGCAUGUGCUGCUUGGUCUCCAGGAUGUACUCGUCACGCUGCUUUCUGGCACGUACCCGACUGUGCUCGUCAGAGGAGGAGCUUGGAGCCUCCGUGUCGCUGAGGAUGGCUGUGGUGCCUUUCAGGAUAGCCCUGGUCUUUGUUGUGAGUGUAACUUCUCGGCUCCAGCAUAGAACCCUCAUCCCACUAGCACAGCUCCUUCAUCCUGCUGGCAUAGACUUUCUGGCUUCCACCGCUGACCCUUGGGUCUUCCCGGCACAGAUCUGUAAAAGACUGGCGUGAGUCCUUCUUGUGGGCUCUGGACUUCCAGUUGGACUCGUGAGAGGCAUUGUCCCUGAGCUCUGGGUUUUUAUCUGGACUCAUGUGGGACAUGUGCUGUGGGGUUUAGGCCCUUGACUAAAUAAUCUAUGUCUUUGGUGUUGUAGAUAGAUUUCCUGCAUUUUCCUGUGUUAACUCCCGGUGACCUUUAUAAAAAUAUUAUAAACUCCAUGUCCUAAUCCUAGUUGUUCUCUGUGUAC